ACACAACAGGACCUGAAACUGCACACUGUAUUUUCUAAAUAAACAACAAUCUCCCAGAUGAGGUCAGAUGACUUACAACAAUAGGGUCUUUUAGGCAAUGUUUUAGAACUCAUAAAAGCUGCCAGUUAAUGGGAACUUUUCAUACGGCCUGCAGACAGGACUGGGUAAUCCAGUGUGAGGCACUGGGGUUUUGUUUGUGGCAAUGGACAGUACGGUGAAGGAGCGCACAGCUGUAAUAGCACUGUUUGCCUGGGAGCUGAAGCAGGAAGGUUCCAGGACAGUCUAAGCUCCACCCUUCCUCAAAGAUCAGGAUGUGACCCUCAGCUACUGCUCCACUGUCAUGCUCCCUGCCAUGAUGAGAAUGGAUUAAGUCUGAGAGGAAUGAUCGGCAUAAUGCCUGAUUACCUCAGCAGCCACUCCUGCGUCACAGUGACCCCUGAAAUCACACAGGGCCAGGACUGCUGGCUGCUGCUCUCCCACUUCACUGAAGACAGAUUUUCUACAAGACCCAAGCAGUCCAUCAAAUCCAUCUCCUCAACCACUUCCCUUGAAGAUUCGCCAACUCUCGUGCUCUGAUGCCUGGUGGCAGGGCUAGCAGUCAUUUGGAGCCUCCCUCCCGCUUUGCUGUACAUCAGAGCAACACAUGGCAGAAAAAAAGCCAACACACCACAAACUCAGCUCCUGAAGCUGAGGAGAUGCUGCCCUGUGUGAGCGCGCCCGUCACUAGUCUCUUGGCUCAAACAUGCAACAGUUGUUUAGGUUGCUUGUUUGUUUUCACAAAGAAUAAAACCAAAGUGUUCUGUGACCUGGAAA
rnacentral:lncRNA from 1 species